rnacentral:rRNA from 1 species
UACAGUGGCGUACGGGUGAGUAACACGUGGGUGAUCUACCUUUUAGUGGGGAAUAACCCUGGGAAACUAGGGCUAAUACCGCAUAAUCCCGAGAGGGGAAAGCAGCAAUGCGCUGAAAGAGGAGCCCGCGGCCGAUUAGCUAGUUGGUAGGGUAAGAGCCUACCAAGGCAGAGAUCGGUAGCCGGCCUGAGAGGGCACACGGCCACACUGGCACUGAAACACGGGCCAG